AAUUCGAUACUCAACCCCGAGAGAACUGCCCUUGCCAGCCCUGUAUCCACCGGAAUUUUUUGCCUUCCCUAGGAAUUAAGUACCGGCUUUGGCUAAAUAGCCAUACACCUUUCCUAAUUAUCAUGUUAUGUCUUCCCAUUUUUGGAUCUUUAAAACUUGUGUAGUAAUAUCAUGUGCACGAAAGUUCCUCAAUCAUUGUCAAUUUGGCUUCUAUUGCAUGUGAUUGAUUCCUUCAUGUCAUGUGUAAAUUCUAAUAAAGGGCCAAAUGUCACUUUGGUGAUAAGAUUGUGUAACUUUUCUAUUAAAUGAGUCGGUGCAAUUUACCAGCUACAUCCAUCCUCCCAUAAAAUUUUUCCUCCCCCGCCUCAAUUUUAUUUUUUCGAGAAUGGUCCACGAAUAAUUGAGUGAAUGUUACCAAUUCGGUUUUUCAACUUGAUUUAUAACUAAGUGUAUAAUGGCACUAUUAUGUAGUGGGAUUAUUGAAAGGGAGAGUUUAAUAAUCUCAAUGUCUUAGUUUAGAAAAUACAUCCUUUCCAAAUAUUUUCAUGAAUUGUCUAGAAGUUUCAACUUUGUACUAUACUCAAAGUAAAAUGCCGUUAACGCCAUAAAAUUAAGUGGGCAAAUAUAAGUUAAGAGAAAAUUAAAAGAUGAAACAUCAAUAAUAAGUUCAAAACAAUGCGUAACAAUGAAAGAAUAUAAUAUGUGGCCAAGAAAUUGGGAUUCGAAACUCACUAGCGUAGAUCAAAAGAAAAUUUAGUUAUUAUUAUAUUAGUUAUAACAAAAUAUAUACUCAAACAUUACAUAUUUAGUUUAGAUAUUUCUACAGUGUGCAUGCUUGUAUGUAUUUCUGCUUUGUUCAGGAAACUUACCGUUAGGGGAUUGAAUUGGUGGUUCUUCGAUUACUUUCUUUAACUUCCCACACUUAUGUCAAAAUCUUAAAGAAGGUAGAUAUAGUGAGAAUUUAUUUUCAUUUUAACAAAUUGAAAAUGCCAUUAAUAGACAAAAAAACAUAACUUUCAAUAUACUAAAAUUUAUAUAUAUAUUUUUUAGUUUUAAUAUGCAUCCUUAUUUUGUUAAAGUGAUAAUGAUCUUAUUAGAAAAUGACUAUAUAUUUAGGAAUAUUAUCAUUUGUCCACCUAAAUUUAUAUAUAUAUAUAUAUAUAUAUAUAUAUAUAUAUAUAUAUAUAUAUAUAUAUAUAUAUAUAUAUAUAUAUAUAUAUUCAAGUUAGUAUUAACGUUUAGUGAAAAAUGCAUUUUUCUGACAUAUCAAUUUAGCAAUGAGAUAUUAUGAAACCCACAUUUUACCACUUUUUUUUUUUUUUGAAGUCUGUUAUACACAGAUAUUACUGACAUUACAUCAGACAUUACAAUUAAUAUUUACAAUCAUACUAUAUAACUGGGACCACCAUCAUACAUUGACACACUGAAGUAUAUGCCCAGAUAUUUUAAACCCUCUCUAAUAUUCGAGGGGUGCCUGCUCCACUCACAUUUCGUAAGGGAGAGACUGUCUCCACUCAAUUAAUUAAUAAUUGAGGAAGAACUGAAACUAACCUCCAUAAUGCUCUUAUGGAGGCUCGAACCCUUACACUCAACAUUAUAAGUGCAAGGCUUCUCCCAUUGGACCAAAGGCCCAUUGGUCACAUUUUACCACUUAAUAUUUAAACUUUUAUCAUUUUACUACCUAAUGUUUUAAGUUGUUAUUACUUUAUCACUUCCAGUGCACAAACAAUUUGUUGGAAAAAGUUUAAAUAUUCACUUAAAAAAAUUGUAAAUUCUCGGGUGCACAAGUGGAAAAAAGAAAUUCUUUCUAAUAUUCACAAAUAGAUUUGCUUUGUUAAUAAUUGUUAUGAGCCCAUCAAUUGAUCUAUUAUUCAAAAACAAUUAAUGUAAAAUCAAGUUGCCCAAAAAGCAAACAUAUAUUAAAAAAUAAAAAAAAUGAAAAAUAUAAGUUCACUUUUGAACGGUCCCAUAAUAUCAUACUAAAGAUGGCCAAUGGGGUCUGUGACACGUGUCUGUAUAUUACGGUACGAUAUGAGCACGUUUUGGUAGGGCACGCGGCAUGGCACGUGAGUCGUAUCGGACUUAGAAUUUUAGGCGCAAGGGUCUUAAAAGUAUGGUACGAUUAGAGAUGAGUUAAAGCACGGCACGCGAAAUGGCACGUAAUAAGCACGCUUUAUUGGUGGGCUAACACGCGGCCCGUGGUCCAUUAAUAGCACGUGGGCCAAAGUAUAUCAAAGUAAAAAAAAAUUAAUGAAAAGUCUACAUAAAAUGUUAUGAUUUUACAAAU
rnacentral:lncRNA from 1 species